rnacentral:misc_RNA from 1 species
UCCGAGUUGACCCCGGCAGUCUCCGACGAGUCCCCGGCAUCACCCGCUGGCAACAUCGGACAAGGGUUGCGCUCGUUGCGGGACUUAACCCAACAUCUCACGACACGAGCUGACGACAGCCAUGCACCACCUGUGACCGCCCCCGAAGGACACCGCAUCUCUACGGCUUUAGCGGCCAUGUCAAGCCCAGGUAAGGUUCUUCGCGUUGCGUCGAAUUAAACCACAUGCUCCACCGCUUGUGCGGGCCCCCGUCAAUUCCUUUGAGUUUCAGCCUUGCGGCCGUACUCCCCAGGCGGGGCACUUAAUGCGUUAGCGCCGGCACCCAGGGGGUCGCUCCCCCAGGCACCUAGUGCCCAUCGUUUACGGCGUGGACUAC